GAUGAACGCUGGCGGCGUGCCUAAUACAUGCAAGUCGAGCGAACAGACGAGGAGCUUGCUCCUCUGACGUUAGCGGCGGACGGGUGAGUAACACGUGGAUAACCUACCUAUAAGACUGGGAUAACUUCGGGAAACCGGAGCUAAUACCGGAUAAUAUAUUGAACCGCAUGGUUCAAUAGUGAAAGACGGUUUUGCUGUCACUUAUAGAUGGAUCCGCGCCGCAUUAGCUAGUUGUUAAGGUAACGGCUUACCAAGGCAACGAUGCGUAGCCGACCUGAGAGGGUGAUAGGCCACACUGGAGCUGAGACACGGUCCAGACUCCUACGGGAGGCAGCAGUAGGGAAUCUUCCGCAAUGGGCGAAAGCCUGACGGAGCAACGCCGCGUGAGUGAUGAAGGUCUUCGGAUCGUAAAACUCUGUUAUUAGGGAAGAACAAAUGUGUAAGUAACUAUGCACGUCUUGACGGUACCUAAUCAGAAAGCCACGGCUAACUACGUG
rnacentral:rRNA from 1 species